CAAUGAUGCGCACAUUUCCUUCUGGAUUCAUCUUCUUCGUUGCCAUCUUCUCCCCUUCACCAAAAGAAUCGUUAGCUCAGACAUGAAUGGAAGGAAUUGCAAUUGAAGUCUUUGCUUGUUAAUCAUUGGAUUAGGGUUCACGAAUCGUAAAUCACGAUCACUGUCCGAAUCUUCCUCCGUUUCGAUCAUCUUCCCCGAUCGUUGUUUCUCCAGAUUUUUCAAUUUUCCACCUAAUCUUCUGAUUCAUCAAAGUAUGAUUCUGUAGCAUUGGAUUCCAACAAGUACGAGAAAAAUUCCAAGUUAUAGACGGAGAAGAUGGUUCACAGCGCUUAUGAUUCGUUCCAGCUUCUCAAGGAUUGUCCAGCCAGGAUCGAUGCUCUCGAAUCCUACGGGUCCAAGAUCUUCGCUGGAUGCUACGACGGCUCCCUCCGUAUUUACGCGCCGGAAACCUCCGCCUCUGACCGCUUUCCGCCGUUGGAGCUGCAGAAACAGCCGUACGUGCUCGAUAAGACGGUGGUGGGGUUCUCGAGGAGGCCGAUCGUUGCGAUGGAGGUUUUGUCGUCUAGAGAACUGCUUUUAUCCCUGUCGGAAUCCAUCGCGUUUCACGGACUUCCCGAUUUGGAGACUGUCGCUGUGAUCACCAAAGCUAAGGGUGCGAACGUAUACUCUUGGGAUGACCGGCGAGGGUUCCUGUGUUUCGCAAGGCAGAAGAGGGUCUGCGUAUUCAAGCACGAUGGAGGAAGGGGGUUUGUGGAGGUGAGAGAAUAUGGAGUUCCUGAUACUGUGAAGUCGAUGUCUUGGUGUGGAGAAAACAUUUGUUUGGGCAUUAGGAAAGAAUAUGUGAUACUGAACACUGCAAAUGGUGCUCUUUCUGAGGUGUUUCCUUCUGGUAGGAUUGCUCCUCCUUUGGUGGUAUCUCUCCCUUCUGGUGAACUUAUUCUGGGGAAGGAGAAUGUUGGAGUUUUCGUUGACCAAAACGGAAAGCUCCUUCAAGCAGACAGGAUUUGCUGGUCUGAGGCCCCAACCGCUGUUGUCAUUCAAAAUCCGUACGGAAUAGCUCUGUUACCCAGACGAGUUGAGGUUCGCUUGCUCCGAAGUUCAUAUCCAUUGAUACAAACGAUAGUCCUCCAAAAUGUCCGUCACCUUGUCAAGAGCAACAAUGCUGUGAUUGUUGGUUUGGAUAACUCUGUUUAUGUUCUCUUCCCGGUCUCUCUUGGUGCCCAGAUCGUGCAAUUAACAGCUUCUGGAAAUUUUGAGGAAGCUUUAGCUCUAUGCAAGUUGCUUCCUCCUGAAGACUCCAGUCUUCGAGCUGCAAAAGAGAGCUCAAUUCAUGUAAGAUAUGCUCAUUAUCUUUUUGAUAAUGGGAGCUAUGAGGAAGCCAUGGAACAAUUCUUGGCAUCUCAAGUAGAUAUCACUUAUGUACUUUCCUUGUAUCAAUCAAUUGUUCUCCCAAAAACAACAAUUGUACCUCAACCAGAGAAGAUGGUGGACAUUACUGGUGAUGAAGCACCUCUGUCAAGAGGUUCAUCGGGCAUUUCAGAUGAUAUGGAAUCCACAUCCCCACUAUACCUUUUUGAAUCUGAAGAUAAUUCUGCCCUUGAAUCGAAGAAAAUGAGCCACAACACUCUGAUGGCUCUUAUCAAGUAUUUGCAGAAGAGGAGGCAAAGUAUCAUUGAGAAGGCCACCGCUGAAGGGACAGAAGAGGCUGUUUCAGACGCUGUUGGAGAUACUUAUGGAGUGUACGAUUCUUCUAAGUUUAAGAAAUCCACCAAGGGACGUGGUACUGUCCCCAUUAACUCAGGUGCUAGGGAGAUGGCGGCAAUCCUUGAUACAGCUCUUCUUCAAGCACUUCUACAUACUGGACAGUCUGGAGCUGCAAUAGAAUUACUAAAAGGUCUCAACUACUGUGAUGUAAAGAUUAGCGAGGAGAUUCUCCUGAAAAGUAAAAACUAUUCUGCAUUGUUGGAAUUGUACAAGAGCAAAUCCAUGCACCAGGAAGCCCUUAAGCUUCUUCAUCAGCUAGCUGAAGAAUCCAAAUCAAACGAGUUGCAAACUGAAGUUAAGCAGAAAUUUAGUCCUGAGUCAGUCAUUGAAUAUCUCAAGCCUCUCUGCAGGACUGAUCCCAUGCUUGUCUUGGAGUACUCUAUGCUUGUCUUGGAAAGCUGUCCGACCCAAACCAUUGAGUUAUUUUUGUCUGGAAAUAUCCCAGCCGACCUUGUCAACUCAUAUCUGAAACAACAUGCUCCGAAUUUGCAGGGCAGAUACUUAGAACUUAUGAUGGAAAUGAACGAAACCGCGAUUUCUGGAAACCUACAAAACGAGAUGGUACAAAUCUACCUCUCAGAGGUUCUCGAAUUGUACGCUGAGCUUAACGCUCAGCAGAAAUGGGACGAGAAGGAUCAUCCCUCGGCGAGGAAAAAACUAUUGUCUGCACUAGAGAGCAUCUCUGGAUACAGUCCAGAGACUCUGUUGAAGCGUCUCCCUCCAGAUGCUCUCUUUGAAGAGCGUGCAGUUUUGUUGGGGAAAAUUAAUCAGCAUGAACUUGCUUUGUCCAUUUAUGUCCAUAAGCUUCAUGCACCUGACCUGGCGCUGGCGUAUUGUGAUCGUAUCUACGAGUCUGUUGCCCAUCUACCAUCUGGAAAAUCAUCUAGCAACAUCUACCUUACACUUCUCCAAAUAUAUCUGAAUCCUAAAAGGAUGACGAAGGACUUUGCGAAACGGAUUAUGGAUCUUGGAUCAUCUCAAAAUUCAACCCCUGCAAGGAUGGGGUCGGUUACGUCUUUUAAAGGUAAAGGAGGUCGGUCCAAGAAAAUCGCUGCAAUAGAGGGAGCCGAGGAUAUGCGGGUCAGUCUCAGUAGCACUGACAGUGGGAAGAGCGAUGGCGAUGCAGAAGAACCUAUGGAGGAAGGAAACUCUACUGUCAUGAUUUCUGAAGUUCUUGACCUGUUGAGCCGAAGAUGGGAAAGAAUCAAUGGUGCUCAUGCCCUCAAGCUUUUACCAAGAGAGACCAAACUCCAGAAUUUGCUUCCUUUUCUCGGACCCCUCUUGAGAAAAUCGAGUGAAGCACACCGGAACUUCUCGGUCAUCAAGAGUUUGAGGCAGAGCGAAAAUCUUCAGGUGAAAGACGAACUGUACAGCCAUAGGAAAGGUGUGGUAAAAGUGACAAGCGAGAGCAUGUGUUCUCUGUGCAACAAGAAAAUUGGGACGAGCGUUUUCGCUGUCUACCCGAACGGGAAAACGAUAGUUCACUUUGUCUGCUUCCGGGACUCUCAGGGCAUGAAAGCCGUUUCCAAGACAUCUCAUGGAAGAAGACGAUGAGAACUCCAUGUCCCCUUGGAGACAGAUGAGAGAAAGCGGCCUCUCGAGUUUUGCUGCAGGAGCAUGGCUUUGGUUACAGGGCCGACAGGUUAUCACGCGAUUGUCGGCGAAUACGGGGAUGGUUGGCAAGGUGAUUGAUUUAAUCUUAAUUGUCUGCAAUCACAAAAAAAAAACAUGAAAAAUCUUAUCGCAAUUCUCAUACGCUUUUUGUAACAAUUUGCGGUAUUUUGUUACAAAUAUAAAUAUCACCUUUUAGAGUUAUCGUAAUAACAUAUAAUUUACAUUAAAUUGCAAUCCACAACCGCUAUCUAUCAGUACUCUGUUUUUUUUUUGUCUUUUUUUGCUGGAGAUUGUGUAAAUGUUUGGACUUGCAAGAACCCAUUUGCCAUCGCAGGUGAUUUGCUUAUAAGAUCAAUACUCAUUUCAACAGGACACUAAUUCUCUCUUGAGAAGGGAAACGUUUGGCUUCAAAGGUCAUACCCACCCAUUGCCCUCCUGAAUCAUCAUCUCAUACAUCUUUGAAGGA